rnacentral:rRNA from 1 species
UACGAAGGGGGCUAGCGUUGCUCGGAAUUACUGGGCGUAAAGGGCGCGUAGGCGGAUAGUUUAGUCAGAGGUGAAAGCCCAGGGCUCAACCCUGGAAUUGCCUUUGAUACUGGCUAUCUUGAGUUCGGGAGAGGUGAGUGGAACUCCGAGUGUAGAGGUGAAAUUCGUAGAUAUUCGGAAGAACACCAGUGGCGAAGGCGACUCACUGGCCCGAUACUGACGCUGAGGCGCGAAAGCGUGGGAGCAAACAGG